CGGGUGGCGACCGGCGCACGGGUGAGUAACGCGUAUGCAACUUACCUAUCAGAGGGGGAUAACCCGGCGAAAGUCGGACUAAUACCGCAUGAAGCAGGGGCCCCGCAUGGGGAUAUUUGCUAAAGAUUCAUCGCUGAUAGAUAGGCAUGCGUUCCAUUAGGCAGUUGGCGGGGUAACGGCCCACCAAACCGACGAUGGAUAGGGGUUCUGAGAGGAAGGUCCCCCACAUUGGUACUGAGACACGGACCAAACUCCUACGGGAGGCAGCAGUGAGGAAUAUUGGUCAAUGGGCGUAAGCCUGAACCAGCCAAGUCGCGUGAGGGAUGAAGGUUCUAUGGAUCGUAAACCUCUUUUAUAAGGGAAUAAAGUGCGGGACGUGUCCCGUUUUGUAUGUACCUUAUGAAUAAGGAUCGGCUAACUCCGUGCCAGCAGCCGCGGUAAUACGGAGGAUCCGAGCGUUAUCCGGAUUUAUUGGGUUUAAAGGGUGCGUAGGCGGCCUUUUAAGUCAGCGGUGAAAGUCUGUGGCUCAACCAUAGAAUUGCCGUUGAAACUGGGGGGCUUGAGUAUGUUUGAGGCAGGCGGAAUGCGUGGUGUAGCGGUGAAAUGCUUAGAUAUCACGCAGAACCCCGAUUGCGAAGGCAGCCUGCCAAGCCAUGACUGACGCUGAUGCACGAAAGCGUGGGGAUCAAACAGGAUUAGAUACCCUGGUAGUCCACGCAGUAAACGAUGAUCACUAGCUGUUUGCG
rnacentral:rRNA from 1 species